GAGUCAUGUGAUAACUACAUAGCCGAACUAUUCUUUCGCCUUUUACUAAAGAAUACCGUGUAGUUGUCACUCAAAGUGACAUACAAUAAUUUUUUAGAAGAGCUCUCUUAAAUGAGUGCU